CGCAAGCCUGACGGAGCAACGCCGCGUGUGGGAAGGAGGCUCUUGGGCUGUCAACCACUUUUCUCAGGGAAGAAGCCCUGACGGUACCUGAGGAAUCAGCCUCGGCUAACUCCGUGCCAGCAGCCGCGGUAAUACGGAGGAGGCAAGCGUUAUCCGGAAUUAUUGGGCGUAAAGCGUCCGCAGGGGGCACAUCAAGUCUGCUGUUAAAGGCUGGAGCUUAACUCCGGUAGAGCAGUGGAAACUGGUGUGCUAGAGGGCGACAGGGGUAGAGGGAAUUCCCAGUGUAGCGGUGAAAUGCGUAGAGAUUGGGAAGAACACCGGUGGCGAAAGCGCUCUACUGGGUCGCACCUGACCCUCAGGGACGAAAGCUAAGGUAGCG
rnacentral:rRNA from 1 species